UCCCACAGUUGUGACUUCGGUAGCUUGAAGUGGCAGCUGCUAAUAGUUUUAAUAUGGACUACAAAUGUUUAGAUAAUUGGUACAAGAUAAAGAGUUAGACAACAACCAUGAAUACUUGUGUUAAAGGCAUUGAUGAGGACAGAAGGAUAUUAGCGGUGUCGAAGUGUCUGGAGGAUGCGCUGGAAGCGGCUCUGCGCAACGCGCUUGAGCUCGAGCUGAAGAUCGCAAUGAGUGAAGUCAGAAGCGAGAUGUCAGGGAUCAGAUACAUGAAAGCCAGCAAGAUAACAUCACCUUUAAACUACGACUACAGAACAUCCAUGCUGAACAUGACAACCCAAAACUUACAAAUCAGAGCAGGAUCAAAUCAGCGGGUAGCGUGCGUGACAAACGUGCAAUUAUGAACACCGAAGAUACCUCAGACCCAGAAAAGAAGUUUAAGACAGAUCACACACAACACACAGAUAACAUACAACACGUAGAUCCAGGUGAUCAGGACCCAUCAUUGUCUGAGCUUGUGUUUGAACAGGUUAAGGAGGAAAAUGAAAAGGAAGAAUCAGAGGAUCACAGACCCAGCAUGGGUAGUGGUCGAAACAAAAAAUAAUAAUUAUACUUCAGAAAUCAGUUGGUCAUCCAGUGGCUGUUUGUCUUAACUCUACGCCCCAUUUGAUGGACUCAACCAAUCAGUAGACAAGACUUACCUCAUCCAGUCGACCCAAAACUGUAGAGAAUUGAGAACUGUCCAGUCCAUAUGUUUGUCAAUUCUGUGGUUAUGCAUUUUAUAGUGAAAGUGAUCUGCGUAAUCAUCACAUGCAGUAUCACAAGACUGCAUUAAAGGGGAAGGUUGUAAUUGCAACCAAGAAGCAAAAACAGCAGCGUUUCCCACCUGGAUGGAGCACAUUUUGCUGAACUGUCUGCAACCAACGCUUGAACGCUUGGAGAACUUGAAGACUCACUUGCAGAUACACAUUUGUGAGCGUCCGUACCCCUGUUCGGUCUGUGGGGUACGAUUUCGCCAUGCUGGGGUGCUAAAAAGGCAUUUCCGCAUUCACACUGGGGAAAAACCUUAUAUAUGUUCAGUGUGUGGAAAGAGUUUUCGAAACUGGAAGUCUGCGUUUCCACCAGAAAUCCCAGUCCAGUGAAUUCUUUGAGGAAAUGAUGGAGUAUAUGAGGGGAAAUUGUUGUGUUUUUACGAACACAGACACAUUCACUCAGUACAAGACUUUUACGGAUUUAAAAUAAGGCAAUUAUAUAUUUAUUUUAUGUCUGUUCACACGAAAUAUGUGAAAUAGCUUAAAUAUUUAUUGCACAUUGCUGUUUUUUUAAAUGAUUGGA